ACGGCGAGUGAAGAGGGAAAAGCCCAAAUUUGUAAUCUGGCUCUUUUAGAGUCCGAGUUGUAAUUUUGAGAACUGUUUUCCGUGCUGGACCAUGUACAAGUCUGUUGAAAAACAGCAUCAUUGAGGGUGAAAAUCCCGUACAUGAUAUGGACUACCAGUGCAAUGUGAUACAGUCUCUAAGAGUCGAGUUGUUUGGGAAUGCAGCUCAAAGUGGGUGGUAAAUUCCAUCUAAGGCUAAAUAUAGGUGAGAGACCGAUAGCAAACAAGUACCGUGAGGGAAAGAUGAAAAGAACUUUGGAAAGAGAGUUAACAGUACGUGAAAUUGUUAAAAGGGAAACAUUUGAAGUUAGACUUGUUAUUGUUGGUUCAGCUUUCUUUUUUGAAGGUGUAUUCCAAUGGUUAACAGACCAGCAUCAAUUUUUGGGUGUUAGAUAAGGGUCUUGAGAAUGUAGCAAUUUCGGUUGUGUUAUAGCUCUUGACUUUGAUAUAAUGCUUAGGAUUGAGGAACGCAGUGAGCUUUUUAUUAAGUGGAUGCCUUUGGGGAUCUUCUCACUA
rnacentral:rRNA from 1 species